AUAGAGACUCAGAGCUGCAUAUCAAUAAGCGGAGGAAAAGAAACUAACAAGGAUUCCCCUAGUAACGGCGAGUGAAGCGGGAAGAGCUCAAAUUUGAAAUCUUAAAGGGUUUCCCUUGACGAAUUGUAGUUUAAAGAAGUGUUUUCUGUUAGAGAGGUUCGGUAAAAGUUCUUUGGAAUAGGACAUCAUAGAGGGUGAGAAUCCCGUAUUUGAUCCAUUAUUUCCUAAGCUUUGUGAUACACUUUCAAAGAGUCGGAUUGUUUGGGAAUGCAGUCCAAAAUGGGUGGUAAAUUUCAUCUAAAGCUAAAUAUUGGCGAGAGACCGAUAGCGAACAAGUACCGUGAGGGAAAGAUGAAAAGAACUUUGAGAAGAGAGUUAAACAGUACGUGAAAUUGUCAAAAGGGAAGCGUUUGACACCAGUGUUGUUUUUCCGAAAAUCAAUUACGAAUGUUUUAGUUUUUAAGAAGUUAUGACUUCAUCGGCUUGCUUCUCUCUUUAUGAAACUUUCUUAAUGCACUUUUCGGUUAACAAGUCAACAUCAAUUUCUUUUGUUGUAAAAGGGUAUGAGGAAGGUGGCUUUCUUUUCGGAGAAAGUGUUUAUAGCCUUGUACCUCUGCAAUCGGAGAGAUUGAGGUCUGCAGCGUAGAUCCUUCGGGGUUAGAUACAUUUGUGCUAAGUUAUAGCUUGCUCAUAGACAACUUGUUGACUAUGUUAAGUCUUGUAGCUUACUCGCUUAUGCUAUUUUACCUACGCUUAGGAUGUUGACGAGACUGUCGAUCUC
rnacentral:rRNA from 1 species